CAGGCCUAACACAUGCAAGUCGAGCGGAAACGAGUUAUCUGAACCUUCGGGGAACGAUAACGGCGUCGAGCGGCGGACGGGUGAGUAAUGCCUAGGAAAUUGCCCUGAUGUGGGGGAUAACCAUUGGAAACGGUGGCUAAUACCGCAUAAUGCCUACGGGCCAAAGAGGGGGACCUUAGGGCCUCUCGCGUCAGGAUAUGCCUAGGUGGGAUUAGCUAGUUGGUGAGGUAAUGGCUCACCAAGGCGAUGAUCCCUAGCUGGUCUGAGAGGAUGAUCAGCCACACUGGAACUGAGACACGGUCCAGACUCCUACGGGAGGCAGCAGUGGGGAAUAUUGCACAAUGGGCGCAAGCCUGAUGCAGCCAUGCCGCGUGUGUGAAGAAGGCCUUCGGGUUGUAAAGCACUUUCAGUCGUGAGGAAGGUAGUGUAGUUAAUAGCUGCAUUAUUUGACGUUAGCGACAGAAGAAGCACCGGCUAACUCCGUGCCAGCAGCCGCGGUAAUACGGAGGGUGCGAGCGUUAAUCGGAAUUACUGGGCGUAAAGCGCAUGCAGGUGGUUUGUUAAGUCAGAUGUGAAAGCCCGGGGCUCAACCUCGGAAUUGCAUUUGAAACUGGCAGACUAGAGUACUGUAGAGGGGGGUAGAAUUUCA
rnacentral:rRNA from 1 species